rnacentral:rRNA from 1 species
GGGUGCGAUCAUACCAGCACUAAUGCACCGGAUCCCAUCAGAACUCCGCAGUUAAGCGUGCUUGGGCGAGAGUAGUACUAGGAUGGGUGACCUCCUAGGAAGUCCUCGU